UGUCUAUGAUGAGACUUAUCACAGACCUGUUCUGAGAAAUGUGAAGACAGCUGAUGUCUCUGAGCCAC